rnacentral:rRNA from 1 species
UGGGGAAUAUUGCACAAUGGGCGGAAGCCUGAUGCAGCAACGCCGCGUGCGGGAUGACGGCCUUCGGGUUGUAAACCGCUUUCGCCUGUGACGAAGCGUGAGUGACGGUAAUGGGUAAAGAAGCACCGGCUAACUACGUGCCAGCAGCCGCGGUGAUACGUAGGGUGCGAGCGUUGUCCGAAUUUAUUGGGCGUAAAGGGCUCGUAGGUGGUUGAUCGCGUCGGAAGUGUAAUCUUGGGGCUUAACCCUGAGCGUGCUUUCGAUACGGGUUGACUUGAGGAAGGUAGGGGAGAAUGGAAUUCCUGGUGGAGCGGUGGAAUGCGCAGAUAUCAGGAGGAACACCAGUGGCGAAGGCGGUUCUCUGGGCCUUUCCUGACGCUGAGGAGCGAAAGCGUGGGGAGCGAACA